ACAGGUGCUGCAUGGCUGUCGUCAGCUCGUGUCGUGAGAUGUUGGGUUAAGUCCCGCACGAGCGCAACCCUUGCCUUUAGUUGCCAGCAGUUCGGCUGGGCACUCUAAAGGGACUGCCGGUGUUAAACCGGAGGAAGGUGGGGAGUGACGUCAAGUCCUUCAUGGCCUUUAUGACCAGGGCUACACACGUACUACAAUGGCCGAUACAAAGGGCAGCGACACUGCGAGGUGAAGCCAAUCCCGUAAAAUCGGUCUCAGUCCGGAUUGGAGUCUGCAACUCGACUCCAUGAAGUUGGAAUCGCUAGUAAUCGUGGAUCAGCAUGCCACGGUGAAUACGUUCCCGGGCCUU
rnacentral:rRNA from 1 species